rnacentral:sRNA from 1 species
CGGGGUGGAUAUCGGGGGAGGGUGAGAACCUGAAGGUUCGACAAAAUCGCGGGAGCGAUUUUGAUCGCCGCGAAGUUUGCGGCGACCCGGAGGGCGGAGAGCCGCAGGCUCGGAGUAAUCCUCCCCCCUCCACCA